AGCCAAUCAGAUGGCAAGGUCGAUUGUCCGCCAUUUCCUCCGUCAACUUGUCGGACCUCAGUUGAACACUGCGAGAAUACAUAAUAAUUAUGUAAACAGAAAAUAGUGAAAACGUGCUCGUGGGGAACUGGCAACAGUUACGGCCGAUACCUUGAUAGAUUGGAGGGCGGUGUUGUAUAUUCUACAAUUCAUGGAACCUAAAACAUACAGCUUUGGAAGUUGUGUCAGCAGCAGCUGAAAUAAAGAGGCUAGAACAACAACUACAUAGAUAUGAGCUGCUGAAUUUGCACCAUGAACAACAAAAUACUACAUCUUUCUCAAGUGUUAUAUUGAUAGUGAUAUUAAUCGGAAAUAAAAUCGAUUGACAUCCUGAA